rnacentral:rRNA from 1 species
UACGUAGGGUGCGAGCGUUAAUCGGAAUUACUGGGCGUAAAGCGUGCGCAGGCGGUUAUUUAAGUCAGGUGUGAAAGCCCUGGGCUUAACCUAGGAAUUGCGCUUGAGACUGGAUAGCUUGGAGUGCGGCAGAGGGAGGUGGAAAUUCCACGUGUAGCAGUGAAAUGCGUAGAGAUGUGGAGGAACACCGAUGGCGAAGGCAGCCUCCUGGGCCAGCACUGACGCUCAUGCACGAAAGCGUGGGGAGCAAACAGG